rnacentral:rRNA from 1 species
GCUGGGGUCCAGUCCGCCCUGAUGGGCGACUCAAAUUCGUAUAUU